rnacentral:rRNA from 1 species
UACAGAGGUCCCAAGCGUUGUCCGGAAUCAUUGGGCGUAAAGAGCUCGUAGGCGGUUCGGCAAGUCGGAUGUGAAAUCUCCACGCUCAACGUGGAGGGGCCAUUCGAAACUGCCGUGACUCGAGUCCGGUAGGGGAGUGUGGAAUUCCCGGUGUAGCGGUGAAAUGCGCAGAUAUCAGGAAGAACACCCGUGGCUAAGGCGGCUCUCUAGUACGGUACUGACGCUGAGACGCGAAAGCGUGGGGAGCGAACAGG